UCGGGAAUAUUGGGCAAUGGGCGCAAGCCUGACCCAGCGACGCCGCGUGAGGGAUGAAGGCCUUCGGGUCGUAAACCUCUGUCGGGAGGGAAGAAUGGCGGUGAAGCGAAUAGCUUCGCUGUCUGACGGUACCUCCAAAGGAAGCGUCGGCUAACUCCGUGCCAGCAGCCGCGGUAAUACGGAGGGCGCAAGCGUUGUUCGGAAUCACUGGGCGUAAAGCGCGUGUAGGCGGCCGGGCAAGUCGGAUGUGAAAUCCCGAGGCUCAACCUCGGAACUGCAUUCGAAACUGCUCGGCUCGAGUCCCGGAGAGGAUGGCAGAAUUCCCGGUGUAGGGGUGAAAUCCGUAGAUAUCGGGAGGAAUACCAGUGGCGAAGGCGGCCAUCUGGACGGUGACUGACGCUGAGACGCGAAAGCGUGGGGAGCAAACAGGAUUAGAUACCCUGGUAGUCCACGCCGUAAACGGUGAGUGCUAGACGUCGCGGGUAUU
rnacentral:rRNA from 1 species